rnacentral:tRNA from 2 species
GCCGAAGUGGCGGAAUGGCAGACGCGCUAGACUCAAAAUCUGGUAUCCGUGAGGGUGUGUGGGUUCGAGUCCCACCUUCGGCA